GCUGAAGUUUCAAAUGGUACCUUAUAUCCAUUGGAAUCAGUAAUGAGUAUUGAGAUUUCAUUUGGCGACCAUAUGUCCAAAGGGUAAUAUUCAAUAUUUUUAAAUUGAAUAUUUCUUUCCUUUCCAUUAAAAUGCAUUACACGAAGACAUCGCGGUCUUUUACUACCUACUGACCUUGGUUUUAUUAUGUCAGUGUAAAUAAAAAUCAAUCCAUUUUCAGGAAUAUUCGUUUGAACGGAUAAAUUUUUAUACCUAAAUGUUUCAGCAUUUACAAGACUAACAAACUCGGUUUCUUCAACGACAUUUUUAUCUUGGUUAGGUGUAUAUUUAAUGUAAUUAUUCAAAUAUAUGUCUGAAAUACCGACUCAGGAAAUACAUUCAUUGAGUCAUUACUUAAGAAUGUGAUAAAAAUCUCAUUUAAAUAACCCAUAUUUGAUAUUUAUGGAAGUUAAUGAUACGAAAUCCAAUUUAAUUUAUUUUUACCAGUUUGUACUGGAUUUUUUGUUCUAACCGAUCGCAUUAACCUUUCACGUCCUGUUACAUAUUUAAAAUUUUGAUAAGAUAGAACUAUUCUUGAUGCAAUUUGAAGGCAUGCUUUUCGAGCAACACCUACAAAGGAUGGAGUUCCUAAAAGCUACUUUGGAGGAUUUAGAGGAAAAAGAGUUGAUCCAUUCGAAGUUUGGAUUCCAUUAUAAACUUUGUCCCUGGAGCGACGAUGAUGCCUGAUCUGGACCAGACACAUGUCAGUGUCAUAUGCUGCCUGCACUGAAAGAGGAAGCCCUUAGUCUAAUGAUUAAAUAUUAUAAGUUAAACAAACGUAUUGCUCCAAAACCAUAAAUAAAACGAAUUAAUUUUACUAAAUA